UUGAUAUUAAAUUGUACUGAACAAUGCUCAUUUGCCUCUACAGAAAGUUCUAGUUGCUCUCUUCGCCAUCUGAGGUUAUGAUGAGAAGCCAGAGGUUGCUCUGCCAAGUCGACUAAAUUAUAAAGUGACUGGGACAGAGAGUGCAUUGAAAAAGAAGAUCCAGGAAUCCAAGAGCGGCCGCUUUUUAGAGAAGGACAAACGCCUCCUGGAAGAGCUGAAGAGCCUGCACUGUGACCCACACCCAUUCUGCACUGUUUUGCCUUCAGAGUCAGACUUUACAUUUUUGGAAGAUUCUCAUGCAAGGCCCUCCUGAUACACCUUAUG